rnacentral:rRNA from 1 species
GACGUAGGGCGCGAGCGUUGUCCGGAUUUAUUGGGCGUAAAGAGCUCGUAGGCGGCUUGUCGCGUCGUCCGUGAAAACUUGGGGCUCAACCCCAGCUUGCGGUCGAUACGGGCAGGCUAGAGUUCGGUAGGGGAGACUGGAAUUCCUGGUGUAGCGGUGAAAUGACGCAGAUAUCAGGAAGAACACCAAUGGCGAAAGCAGCUUUCUGGGACGGUACUGACGCUGAGACGCGAAAGCGUGGGGAGCGAACAGG